GGAGAGGUGCUGGAGUGGUCGAACAGGGCUGCCUGCUAAGCAGUUGUCCGGGUGAACUCCUGGACCGAGGGUUCGAAUCCCUCCCUCUCCGCCA
rnacentral:tRNA from 1 species